ensembl:lncRNA
GGCGGGGCUACAGGCUGAAUGACAGGUCUCUAACAGACCAUAAAGCAGGGGAUGCUUUAGGGCGUGGCUACAGGCUGAUUGACAGGUCUCUAACAGACCAUAAUGCAGGGGAUGCUUUAGGGCGGGGCUAAAGGCUGAUUGACAGGUCUCUGCCGUCGUGUUUCCCGUGGCGAACAGGCUCUGUGGUUAACAGAACUCCAUGUUUUACUUCACAUCAAAGGGAGGCUUGACUGUGAUUGGCCGAUGCAGCUUCCUUCGCCGGGUGACAUUGUGUGGUAGUUAAAGUCUGUCCCCUAAACGCAGUGAGUUUGUCUAUAAGUCUAUAAGACGAGUUCAGUGCAGAACCUUUUACAUCUUUCAGAU